rnacentral:rRNA from 1 species
ANNCAGGGUGCGAAACCUCCNCAAUGUUACNAAAGUGCGAUGGGGGAAUCCUAAGUGCUGGCGCAAUGCGUCAGCUUUUCUCGAGUCUAAAUCGCUUGAGGAAUAAGUGGUGGGUAAGACCGCUGCCAGCCGCCGCGGUAAUANCGGCGCCACAAGUGGCAUCCAUUUAUAUUGGGUUUAAAGCAUCCGUAGCCGGCCUGAUAAGUCUACUGUGAAAUCCUAUAGAAAACUAUAGGGCGUGCGGUAGAAACUAUUACGGCUUGGGACCAGGAGAGGUCAGAGGUACUCCUAGGGUAGCGGUAAAAUGCUGUAAUCCUAGGGGGACCACCUGUGGCGAAGGCGUCUGACUGGAAUGGAUCCGACGGUGAGGGAUGAAAGCUAGGGGAGCGACCCGGAUUAGAUACCCGGUUAGUCCUAGCUGUAAACGAUGCUCACUUGGUAUUGGAAAUCUUUCGUGGAUUUCCAGUGCCGAAGGGAAACCGUUAAGUGAGCCAACCUGGGGGGUACGGUCGCAGGCUGAAACUUAAAGGAANUUGGGCGGGGGAGC